UACGAAGGGGGCUAGCGUUGCUCGGAAUCACUGGGCGUAAAGGGUGCGUAGGCGGGUCUUUAAGUCAGGGGUGAAAUCCUGGAGCUCAACUCCAGAACUGCCUUUGAUACUGAAGAUCUUGAGUUCGGGAGAGGUGAGUGGAACUGCGAGUGUAGAGGUGAAAUUCGUAGAUAUUCGCAAGAACACCAGUGGCGAAGGCGGCUCACUGGCCCGAUACUGACGCUGAGGUGCGAAAGCGUGGGAGCAAACAGGG
rnacentral:rRNA from 1 species